rnacentral:rRNA from 1 species
GUAGGUGGCAAGCGCUGUCCGGAAUUAUUGGGCGUAAAGCGCGCGCAGGCGGUUCUUUAAGUCUGAUGUGAAAGCCCACGGGCUCAACCGUGGAGGGUCAUUGGAAACUGGAGAACUUGAGUACAGAAGAGGAAAGCGGAAUUCCACGUGUAGCGGUGAAAUGCGUAGAGAUGUGGAGGAACACCAGUGGCGAAGGCGGCUUUCUGGUCUGUAACUGACGCUGAGGCGCGAAAGCGUGGGGAGCAAACAGGAUUAGAUACCCUGGUAGUCCACGCCGUAAACGAUGAGUGCUAAGUGUUAGGGGGUUUCCGCCCCUUAGUGCUGCAGCUAACGCAUUAAGCACUCCGCCUGGGGAGUACGGCCGCAAGGCUG